rnacentral:rRNA from 1 species
AUUGAACGCUGGCGGCAUGCCUUACACAUGCAAGUCGAACGGUAACAGGUCUACGGAUGCUGACGAGUGGCGAACGGGUGAGUAAUACAUCGGAACGUGCCUAGUAGUGGGGGAUAACUACUCGAAAGAGUGGCUAAUACCGCAUGAGAUCUACGGAUGAAAGCAGGGGAUCGCAAGACCUUGUGCUACUAGAGCGGCCGAUGGCAGAUUAGGUAGUUGGUGGGAUAAAAGCUUACCAAGCCGACGAUCUGUAGCUGGUCUGAGAGGACGAUCAGCCACGCUGGGACUGGGACACGGCCCAGACUCCUACGGGAGGCAGCAGUGGGGAAUUUUGGACAAUGGGGUCAACCCUGAUCCAGCAAUGCCGCGUGCAGGAUGAAGGCCUUCGGGUUGUAAACUGCUUUUGUACGGAACGAAAAGGCUCUGGCUAAUACCUGGGGCACAUGACGGUACCGUAAGAAUAAGCACCGGCUAACUACGUGCCAGCCGCCGCCGUAACAC